UCUCCGUAGGUGAACCUGCGGAGGGAUCAUUACCGAGCUCAUGCCCUUACGGGUAGAUCUCCCACCCUGUGUUAUUAUUACCUUUGUUGCUUUGGCGGGCCGCCAGGCUCCGGUCAGGCUAUCGGCUUCGGCUGGUAAGCGCCCGCCAGAGGACCCUAUAUCCUGAUUAAUAGUGUCGUCUGAGUACUAUAUAAUAGUUAAAACUUUCAACAACGGAUCUCUUGGUUCUG
rnacentral:misc_RNA from 1 species